GAUGAACGCUAGCUACAGGCUUAACACAUGCAAGUCGAGGGGCAGCGGGAUUGAAGCUUGCUUCAAUUGCCGGCGACCGGCGCACGGGUGAGUAACGCGUAUCCAACCUUCCGUACACUCAGGGAUAGCCUUUCGAAAGAAAGAUUAAUACCUGAUGGUAUGAUGAGAUUGCAUGAUAGCAUCAUUAAAGAUUUAUCGGUGUACGAUGGGGAUGCGUUCCAUUAGGUAGUAGGCGGGGUAACGGCCCACCUAGCCUACGAUGGAUAGGGGUUCUGAGAGGAAGGCCCCCCACAUUGGAACUGAGACACGGUCCAAACUCCUACGGGAGGCAGCAGUGAGGAAUAUUGGUCAAUGGACGAGAGUCUGAACCAGCCAAGUAGCGUGAAGGAUGAAGGUCUUACGGAUUGUAAACUUCUUUUAUAAGGGAAUAAACCCUCCACGUGUGGGAGCUUGUAUGUACCUUAUGAAUAAGCAUCGGCUAACUCCGU
rnacentral:rRNA from 1 species